AGCCGUGGCUUUCUGGUCAGAUACCGUCAAUACGUGAACAGUUACUCUCACGCACGUUCUUCUCUGACAACAGAAUUUUACGACCCGAAGGCCUUCUUCAUUCACGCGGCGUUGCUCCAUCAGACUUUCGUCCAUUGUGGAAGAUUCCCUACUGCUGCCUCCCGUAGGAGUAGGGGAAC
rnacentral:rRNA from 1 species